UAGAGUCACAUUCUCUAGCACCUGCCUU
rnacentral:sRNA from 1 species